rnacentral:rRNA from 1 species
CCUACGGGAGGCAGCAGUGAGGAAUAUUGGUCAAUGGCCGGAAGGCUGAACCAGCCAUGCCGCGUGAAGGUCAGUGCCCUAUGGGCGUUAAACUUCUUUUGUGCGGGAGCAAUAAUGGUCACGUGUGGCCAGACGAGAGUACCGUACGAAUAAGCAUCGGCUAACUCCGUGCCAGCAGCCGCGGUAAUACGGGGGAGGCAAGCGUUAUCCGGGUUUAUUGGGUUUAAAGGGGUCGUAGGCUGGGAGGUAAGUCAGCGGGGAAAUGCCCCCGCUCAACGGGGUGAAGUGCCAUUGAAACUGCCUUGCUGGAAUGCGGAUGCCGUGGGAGGAAUGUGUGGUGUAGCGGUGAAAUGCAUAGAUAUCACACAGAACACCGAUUGCGAAGGCAUCUCACGAAUCCGCGAUUGACGCUGAUGCACGAAAGCGUGGGUAUCAAACAGGAUUAGAUACCCUUGUAGUC